UUGACGCUGGCGGCAGGCCUACACAUGCAAGUCGAACGGUAGCACAGAGAGCUUGCUCUCGGGUGACGAGUGGCGGACGGGUGAGUAAUGUCUGGGAAACUGCCUGAUGGAGGGGGAUAACUACUGGAAACGGUAGCUAAUACCGCAUAACGUCGCAAGACCAAAGAGGGGGACCUUCGGGCCUCUUGCCAUCAGAUGUGCCCAGAUGGGAUUAGCUAGUAGGUGGGGUAACGGCUCACCUAGGCGACGAUCCCUAGCUGGUCUGAGAGGAUGACCAGCCACACUGGAACUGAGACACGGUCCAGACUCCUACGGGAGGCAGCAGUGGGGAAUAUUGCACAAUGGGCGCAAGCCUGAUGCAGCCAUGCCGCGUGUAUGAAGAAGGCCUUCGGGUUGUAAAGUACUUUCAGCGGGGAGGAAGGUGUUGUGGUUAAUAACCNCAGCAAUUGACGUUACCCGCAGAAGAAGCACCGGCUAACUCCGUGCCAGCAGCCGCGGUAAUACGGAGGGUGCAAGCGUUAAUCGGAAUUACUGGGCGUAAAGCGCACGCAGGCGGUCUGUCAAGUCGGAUGUGAAAUCCCCGGGCUCAACCUGGGAACUGCAUUCGAAACUGGCAGGCUAGAGUCUUGUANAGGGGGGUAGAAUUCCAGGUGUAGCGGUGAAAUGCGUANAGAUCUGGAGGAAUACCGGUGGCGAAGGCGGCCCCNUGGACAAANACUGACGCUCAGGUGCGAAAGCGUGGGGAGCAACAGGAUNANAUACCUGGUAGUCCCGCCGUAAACGAUGUCNACUUGGANGUNGUGCCCUUGAGGCGUGGCUUCCGGANCUANCNNUUAAUCCACCCCUGGGGAAUACGCCNCAAGGUUAAACUCAAUGANUNNCNGGGNCCCCCCAACGGGGGAACUUUGNUUUAUUCUNNCACCCGAAAACUUUCUUCUUUGACUCCNAAANUUUC
rnacentral:rRNA from 1 species